rnacentral:rRNA from 1 species
CCUACGGGAGGCAGCAGUCGAGAAUCAUUCACAAUGGGGGAAACCCUGAUGCAGCGACGCCGCGUGAGUGAAGAAGUAUUUCGGUAUGUAAAGCUCUAUCAGCAGGGAAGAAGAAAGACGGUACCUGACUAAGAAGCCCCGGCUAACUACGUGCCAGCAGCCGCGGUAAUACGUAGGGGGCAAGCGUUAUCCGGAUUUACUGGGUGUAAAGGGAGCGUAGACGGCUGUGCAAGUCUGAAGUGAAAGCCCAGGGCUCAACCCUGGGACUGCUUUGGAAACUGUGGAGGUAGAGGGCUGGGGAGGUAAGUGGAAUUCCUAGUGUAGCGGUGAAAUGCGUAGAUAUUAGGAGGAACACCAGUGGCGAAGGCGGCUUACUGGACAGUAACUGACGUUGAGGCUCGAAAGCGUGGGGAGCAAACAGGAUUAGAUACCCGAGUAGUC